UUAAAAGAAAAAUAGGGCCUCUGCAAUUCUUCUUCUCCAUCCGCCUUCUUCUUCUCCCCCCCAUCCGCCUUCUUCUUCCCCAAAUCGACCCCUCUGCAAUUUUUUUUUAAAAUCGACCCCUCUGCCAUAUACCAACUCCCUUCGCCCCGAUUCUCCACCAAGUCCCGGCUUCGAACCAUGCCGAUGCUCUAGCGCGGCGCACGCUUCGGCGACCCGGAUCGAACCAAGUCCCAGCUUCGAACCCUAGGUUGUCGCAGGCGGCCUGUCAUCGAAGCCUCUCAGGAAAGCCAACUUUCCCCUCACGACCUAUCUCGCGCUCCUAUCUUUUUCCCCCAAAUCCAGAACCCUAGGUCGUUUGUCGCCACCGCCACCGCUUCCACCGAUAGUCGCCUCCCUCGCACUGAAAUACUCCGAUUUUAAUGGCGGCGGCCCUCUCUCUCUCAGAUAAUAUGCACAAAUUGGGCACAACUUUAUCUUUCUAGGGUUCUAAAUCGCACCGGUAACGACAGUUCUCUCCCUAUCUCUCUCCACUCUCCAACUCCAGUAUUGAAUUCGCGGGGGGAUUCUGAAUUCUUGAUUGCUCCGAGUCCGAAUUGUUAUGACAGUUUUCUUAGGUGGCUGAUGCUGGAGGUUCACCCUCACUUGUUGCUCGAGGAUACAGCACUAUUCAGGCUGCUAGUGGUGGUGAGCAACUUGAAAUUCAAGUUCCAGUUGAAAAGGUUCAUUCUUCAUUUCUCAUCUGCUAUCGCUUUAUCUAUAUGCAUAUAUUUAUAUGUGUAUUUGUGCUUUUUUACUAUUUACUAUGUUUGUGGAACUGAGGUGGUAAGUGAUUUGUAUUAUAUUUUGUCUUACCCCCUUGAAAUUUGUUUAGGGGGGGGGAGAGAGAGAGAGAGAGAUUGUAUAUAUAUGUGUAUAUAUAGAAAAAUGGUUAUUGGGACAUAAGAGCUAGCUUGCUUGUUGAGUAUUGAAAGCUAAGGCUGCCUAUGGUUCAUGCUUGCACAUAUGGAACUAUUACUUUGAAAUUGAUGCUUCAUUCAACCAAAAACAUUAUCUUUGAUCAUCUAAAAUAUAAAAAUGUGUGAAGAAUAUUAUGAGAAUUAUGUUGGGGCUUGAAUGGAAGUCUAAGUAAUUAGUUUUGCAGUACUAAGUUUUCCUUUAUGCCAAUCAUGACUUGCAACUCGAAUAGAUGAUAAGAAUAUCAAACACAUUCAUUUUCUUAAUCUAGGCAAGUAUGAAAAUUUGGCAGAAUGAAAGAUAUUUAGGUAAAAUUUGGAGGAUUUGCAGUAUCACUCGUAAAGAAUUGUCAUAGUAGAUUCUGUAAAGCUGCUCAUAUUUUUUUUGUUCCCAUUGCUAGAUCUUGGCAGUAGAUUCAGUUGAUUAAUUUCAUAUCUUAUUUAAGGUAAGGUAGUGCCAUGAUGAGCUAAUUUUGAAAUUAUGAAUUGCUUUUUCGUCAUUUAGAUUCCAAAUAUUGGGGCAUUGGCAAUCUAGAUGAAAGAGGUCUACCUCUGAAUAUGUUGACUUGCUAUUACAGUUGAGAAAACUGUUCUGUUCAUAUCUCGUUGUCUGAGGAUUGUAGGCUUAUAUCUUCUUGUAGUUGUGGUUUCUGUAAUCUUUUUCGGUCUG